GGUAAUUCCAGCUCCACUAGUGUAAAUCGUCAUUGCUGCGGUUAAAAAGCUCGUAGUUGGAUCUGAGUUACAUGCAGUGAUUCGCCUUUGGCGUUAAUCGCUGUUGUAACUAUUUGCUGGUUUUCUAUUGAGGUUUCGGCUUCUUUAGUGGCUAGCGAGUUUACUUUGAAUAAAUUAGAGUGCUCAGAACAAGCGUUUGCUUGAAUGGUCGAUCAUGGAAUAAUAAAAGAGGACUUCGGUUCUAUUUAUUGGUUCAGGAACUGAAAUAAUGGUUAAGAGGGACAAUUCGGGGGCAUUCGUAUCCCUGCGCGAGAGGUGAAAUUCGUGGACCGCAGGGGGACGCCCUAAAGCGAAAGCAUUUGCCAAGAAUGUCUUCAUUAAUCAAGAACGAAAGUCAGAGGUUCGAAGGCGAUUAGAUACCGCCCUAGUUCUGACCGUAAACUAUGCCAUCUAGCGAUCCGAUGGGGUAUAGUUGCCUUGUCGAGGAGCUUCCCGGAAACGAAAGUCUUUCGGUUCCUGGGGUAGUAUGGUUGCAAAGCUGAAACUUAAAGAAAUUGACGGAAUGGCACCACCAGGAGUGGAGCCUGCGGCUUAAUUUGACUCAACACGGGAAAACUCACCCGGCCCGGACACCGUAAGGAUUGACAGAUUGAAAGCUCUUUCUCGAUUUGGUGGUUGGUGGUGCAUGGCCGUUCUUAGUUGGUGGAGCGAUUUGUCUGGUUUAUUCCGAUAACGAGCGAGACUCUAGCCUGCUAAAUAGUGGCUGGAUUUUUGAGUCCAGUCUACUUCUUAGAGGGAUAAGCGGUGUUUAGCCGCACGAGAUUGAGCGAUAACAGGUCUGUGAUGCCCUUAGAUGUCCGGGGCUGCACGCGCGCUACAAUGGAAGAAUCAGCUGGCCUAUCCAUUGCCGAAAGGCAUUGGUAAACCGUUGAAACUCUUCCGUGACCGGGAUAGGGAAUUGUAAUUAUUUCCCUUGA
rnacentral:rRNA from 1 species